rnacentral:rRNA from 1 species
UGCAACCCGACUCCGUGAAGCUGGAUUCGCUAGUAAUCGCGCAUCAGCCAUGGCGCGGUGAAUACGUUCCCGGGCCUUGUACACACCGCCCGUCAAGCCAUGGGAGCCGGGAGCGCUUGAAGUGCGUCGCCGCGAGGCGCGCCCUAGAGCGAGACCGGUGACUGGGGCUAAGUCGUAACAAGGUAUC